AGCUCCAAUAGCGUAUAUUAAAGUUGUUGCAGUUAAAAAGCUCGUAGUUGGAUUUGUGGUGUACUUCGGCGGCCCGUCACUAUGUGAUGGAGCUUGCUGAAGUCGCCAUCCUUGGGUGGAUCCUGUGUGGCAUUGAGUUGUCGUGCAGGGGAUGCCCAUCGUUUACUGUGAAAAAAUUAGAGUGUUCAAAGCAGGCUUAUGCCGUUGAAUAUAUUAGCAUGGAAUAAUAAGAUAGGACCUUGGUACUAUUUUGUUGGUUUGCGCACCAAGGUAAUGAUUAAUAGGGACAGUUGGGGGUAUUCGUAUUUCAUUGUCAGAGGUGAAAUUCUUGGAUUUUUGAAAGACGAACUACUGCGAAAGCAUUUACCAAGGAUGUUUUCAUUAAUCAAGAACGAAAGUA
rnacentral:rRNA from 1 species